CAGCAGCCACGGUAAUACGUAGGGUGCAAGCGUUAAUCGGAAUUACUGGGCGUAAAGCGUGCGCAGGCGGUUCGCUAAGACAGAUGUGAAAUCCCCGGGCUUAACCUGGGAACUGCAUUUGUGACUGGCGGGCUAGAGUAUGGCAGAGGGGGGUAGAAUUCCACGUGUAGCAGUGAAAUGCGUAGAGAUGUGGAGGAAUACCGAUGGCGAAGGCAGCCCCCUGGGCCAAUACUGACGCUCAUGCACGAAAGCGUGGGGAGCAAACAGGAUUAGAUACCCCGGUAGUCCAUGUCUCUUAUAC
rnacentral:rRNA from 1 species